rnacentral:tRNA from 34 species
ACUCCUGUAGCCCAAUUGGAAGAGGCGGCAAUUUCAAAAAUUGUCAAGUGUGAGUUCAAAUCUCACUAGGAGUACCA